rnacentral:rRNA from 1 species
AUUGAACGCUGGCGGCAGGCCUAACACAUGCAAGUCGAGCGAGCGGCGGACGGGUGAGUAAUGUAUGGGGAUCUGCCCGAUAGAGGGGGAUAACUACUGGAAACGGUGGCUAAUACCGCAUACUAUCGGAUGAACCCAAAUGGGAUUAGCUAGUAGGUGGGGAAAAGGCUCACCUAGGCGACGAUCGCUAGCGGGUCUGAGAGGAUGAUCAGCAACAAGGGGACUGAGACACGGCCCAGACUCCUACGGGAGGCAGAAGGGGGGAAUUUGGCACAAUGGGCGAAGGCCUGAUGCAGCCAUGCGGGGUGUAUGAAGAGGGCCGUAGGGUGGUAAAGUGCUUUCAGCGGGGAGGGGUUACCCGCAGAAGAAGCACCGGCUAACUCCGUCCCAGCAGCCGGGUAAUCC